AUUUAUAAAAGCCAAGAUGAAGAGCAAAGAAAUGAUUCUCUGAGAUUCUCCUACUAAAUGUACAUAAGCCCACAAAACAUCAUUAAUAGAAUAGGUCUGGGCAAAAUAAACUCAGAGAGAAAGAACAGAGUCACUAAUCAGCUAGUGUAAGGUGCUUUAUAGAACUCUUGGCAUGCAGACAAAGUUACAAAAGUCAGGUUCAAACCCAGAGAACCAAACCCAACCCAGAAAAUCUGUGUCAGGCAACAUUCUCAGAUAGAGUCAGGACUUAAAAAUGUUUUUAAAGCAACUCAUUGCUCUCUUAUGAUUUUGUUGUCUCUUAUUCAACAUUCACAUAAAUGCAUUCUGGUGCUAUGAGUUUCCCUCUUGAUGUUUUUUAGAAGGAGCCCAGGACCAGUGCUAAGACCCAUGAGGCAUGAGGCCCUAAGAGGGACUUGAAACAUGAUGUUACAUUGAUUCCUCACAAGGACUGUUUGGUAAAAUCCUUUUUAAAAAGUUUUGAAAGAAAAUUAGUUGAGUGAGUAACAUAGGGCUGGUUUCCAUCUCGCUAUGAUGCAUGAACCAAGGCAUAAAGCAACAUGACUUCAAAAGCCUACAGAGACCUGGCAGCUGAUUUACAUUAUAUAUUCAGAAGAGUGAACUAAGAAGAGGAAAGUCUUUAUAGGACACUUCUUCACUUCUAAGAUAGAAACAAGGAAUCAUGAUAAUGCCCCAAGAACAAGCAGAUCAUGGGUAGGACGCCGCACUACAGUGAAUCAGCAGAACUGGAUUCUCCUCAACUUGACUCUGUAAAUCACUCACAGUGGGAGCCUAACAUCUCUGAUUGCCAGUUUUGUCUUCUUUAAAAUAAGAAAUUAUAAUA